rnacentral:sRNA from 1 species
CGGACUUCCAGAUAGAGGCCGCCAUCAGCAAAAUCUUUGGCUCGGAGGCAGCCUGGAAGGUGACAGAUGAAUGCAUCCAAAUCAUGGGGGGUAUGGGCUUCAUGAAGGAACCUGGAGUAGAGCGUGUGCUCCGAGAUCUUCGCAUCUUCCGGAUCUUUGAGGGGACAAAUGACAUUCUUCGGCUGUUUGUGGCUCUGCAGGGCUGUAUGGUAAGAAGGAGAAUUGGGUGGGGGUAGAGGUGGGGAGGACAGCGAGUCCUGACUGCUGGACCCUCUUCCCCCAUAGGACAAAGGAAAAGAGCUCUCUGGGCUUGGCAGUGCUCUAAAGAAUCCCUUUGGGAAUGCUGGCCUCCUGCUAGGAGAGGCAGGCAAACAGCUGAGGCGGUAGGCUUAGGGCCAGAGCCAGGGGAGGGCAGGGUGGUAUAUGGCAACUAACCAGUCAUUCUCCCUCUUCCUCUCAGGCGGGCAGGGCUGGGCAGCGGCCUGAGUCUCAGUGGACUUGUCCACCCGGAGUUGAGUCGGAGCGGCGAGCUGUACAGGCUCUGGAGCAGUUUGCCACUGUGGUGGAGGCCAAGCUGAUAAAACACAAGAAGGGGAUUGUCAAUGAACAGUUUCUGCUGCAGCGGCUGGCAGACGGGGCCAUCGACCUCUAUGCCAUGGUGGUGGUUCUCUCGAGGGCCUCAAGAUCCCUAAGUGAGGGCCACCCCACGGCCCAGCAUGAGAAAAUGCUCUGUGACACCUGGUGUAUCGAGGUGAGACUCGGGGCUGCCAAGCUCAGGUGAGGGCUAGAGGUACAGGCCCAACCCCUCCUUCCCUCUCCCCAGGCUGCAGCUCGGAUCCGAGAGGGCAUGGCCGCCCUGCAGUCUGACCCCGGGCAGCAAGAGCUCUACCGCAACUUCAAAAGCAUCUCCAAGGCCUUGGUGGAGCGGGGUGGUGUAGUCACCAGCAACCCACUUGGCUUCUGAAUACUCCCGUCCAGGGCCUGGCCCGGUUAUGUGCCUUCCCUCAAGCUAAAGCCGAAGCCCGUUUCCUUAGGGCCCUGGUUUGUCCGGAAGGGGCCUAAUGUUCCCAGCACUGUGCCUGCUCUCAAGAGCACUUACUGCCUCACAAAUAAUAAAAUUUCUAACC